rnacentral:misc_RNA from 1 species
AACGCACAUUGCGCCCCCUGGUAUUCCGGGGGGCAUGCCUGUUCGAGCGUCAUUACACCACUCAAGCCUCGCUUGGUAUUGGGCGCCGGGGACCCCCCGCGCCUCAAUUUUGUCGGCUGGCGAAUCUGAAUCUCAGCGUUGUGGCAAGCAAAUCCGCUGGCGAGACAGGCUCUCCGCGCCGUAAAACCCCCGUCAAAGGUUGACCUCGGAUCAGGUAGGGAUACCCGCUGAACUUAA